GAUGAACGCUGGCGGCGUGCCUAAUACAUGCAAGUCGAGCGAACAGAUGAGGAGCUUGCUCCUCUGACGUUAGCGGCGGACGGGUGAGUAACACGUGGAUAACCUACCUAUAAGACUGGGAUAACUUCGGGAAACCGGAGCUAAUACUGGAUAAUAUAUUGAACCGCAUGGUUCAAUAGUGAAAGACGGUUUUGCUGUCACUUAUAGAUGGAUCCGCGCCGCAUUAGCUAGUUGGUAAGGUAACGGCUUACCAAGGCAACGAUGCGUAGCCGACCUGAGAGGGUGAUCGGCCACACUGGAACUGAGACACGGUCCAGACUCCUACGGGAGGCAGCAGUAGGGAAUCUUCCGCAAUGGGCGAAAGCCUGACGGAGCAACGCCGCGUGAGUGAUGAAGGUCUUCGGAUCGUAAAACUCUGUUAUUGGGGAAGAACAAAUGUGUAAGUAACUAUGCACGUCUUGACGGUACCUAAUCAGAAAGCCACGGCUAACUACGU
rnacentral:rRNA from 1 species